UACAGAGGGUGCAAGCGUUAUCCGGAUUCACUGGGUUUAAAGGGAGCGUAGGUGGCUUUGUAAGUCAGUGGUGAAAUAUUGCGGCUCAACCGCAAAACUGCCAUUGAUACUGCUUAGCUUGAAUCACGUCGAGGUGGAUGGAAUAAUACAUGUAGCGGUGAAAUGCUUAGAUAUGUAUUAGAACACCGAUUGCGAAGGCAGUUCACUAGGCGUGUAUUGACACUGAGGCUCGAAAGCGUGGGGAUCAAACAGG
rnacentral:rRNA from 1 species